ACGAGAAAGUUGUAGCAAUACGGCUUUGAAAGCGGCGCACGGGUGCGUAACACGUAUGCAACCUACCUUUUACUAAGGAAUAGCCUCUCGAAAGAGAGAUUAAUACCUUAUAACAUGUUUUGAAGGCAUCUUCAGAACCUUAAAGCUCCGGCGGUAAAAGAUGGGCAUGCGGUUGAUUAGCUAGUUGGUGAGGUAAUGGCUCACCAAGGCUUCGAUCAAUAGGGGGUCUGAGAGGAUGUCCCCCCACACUGGUACUGAGACACGGACCAGACUCCUACGGGAGGCAGCAGUAGGGAAUAUUGGACAAUGGGCGCAAGCCUGAUCCAGCCAUGCCGCGUGCAGGAUGAAGGCCCUAUGGGUCGUAAACUGCUUUUGUACGGGAAGAAACCUCACUACGUGUAGUGAGUUGACGGUACCGUGAGAAUAAGGAUCGGCUAACUUCGUGCCAGCAGCCGCGGUAAUACGAAGGAUCCAAGCGUUGUCCGGAUUUACUGGGUUUAAAGGGUGCGUAGGCGGACUUUUAAGUCAGUGGUGAAAGCUCGCAGCUUAACUGUGAAAUUGCCAUUGAAACUGAAAGUCUCGAGUGUGGUUGAGGUAACUGGAAUAUAUCAUGUAGCGGUGAAAUGCUUAGAUAUGAUAUAGAACACCAAUUGCGAAGGCAGGUUACUGAGCCACAACUGACGCUGACGCACGAAAGCGUGGGGAUC
rnacentral:rRNA from 1 species